CAAUAGCGUAUAUUUAAGUUGUUGCAGUUAAAAAGCUCGUAGUUGGAUUUCGGGUAGGAUUUGCCGGUCCGUCUUUGAGAUGUGUACUGGUAAGUCCUAUCUUCUUGUCGGGGACCAGCUCCUGGGCUUCACUGUCCGGGACUGGGAGCCGACGAAGUUACUUUGAGUAAAUUAGAGUGUUCAAAGCAAGCCUACGCUCUGAAUAUAUUAGCAUGGAAUAACACGAUAGGACUCUGGCUUAUCUUGUUGGUCUGUGAGACCAGAGUAAUGAUUAAGAGGGACAGUCGGGGACAUUCGUAUUUCAUUGUCAGAGGUGAAAUUCUUGGAUUUACGGAAGACGAACAUCUGCGAAAGCAUUUGCCAAGGAUGUUUUCAUUG
rnacentral:rRNA from 1 species